rnacentral:tRNA from 1 species
AUCCAGGGAUGGGAAUCGAACCCAUAGUGUUCCGUUUACCGGGCAGAUGCCAUGUCCACUAGGCUACCCUGGA